AGUGAACGCUGGCGGUAGGCCUAACACAUGCAAGUCGAACGGCAGCACAGUAAGAGCUUGCUCUUACGGGUGGCGAGUGGCGGACGGGUGAGGAAUACAUCGGAAUCUACUUUUUCGUGGGGGAUAACGUAGGGAAACUUACGCUAAUACCGCAUACGACCUACGGGUGAAAGCAGGGGACCUUCGGACCUUGCGCGAUUGAUUGAGCCGAUGUCGGAUUAGCUAGUUGGCGGGGUAAAGGCCCACCAAGGCGACGAUCCGUAGCUGGUCUGAGAGGAUGAUCAGCCACACUGGAACUGAGACACGGUCCAGACUCCUACGGGAGGCAGCAGUGGGGAAUAUUGGACAAUGGGCGCAAGCCUGAUCCAGCCAUACCGCGUGGGUGAAGAAGGCCUUCGGGUUGUAAAGCCCUUUUGUUGGGAAAGAAAAGCAGCAGGUUAAUACCCCGCUGUUCUGACGGUACCCAAAGAAUAAGCACCGGCUAACUUCGUG
rnacentral:rRNA from 1 species